GUAUAUAUUGAAAUAUGUGAGAAUUCUGUGUGUUCGUCUUUAAAGAUUGACCAGGAUCUCUCCAAGAUGUUUGGAGAUGAGA